UACGAAGGGGGCUAGCGUUGUUCGGAUUUACUGGGCGUAAAGCGCACGUAGGCGGUUUGUUAAGUGAGAGGUGAAAUCCCAGAGCUCAACUCUGGAACUGCCUUUCAUACUGGCAAGCUAGAGUCCGGAAGAGGUAAGUGGAACUCCUAGUGUAGAGGUGGAAUUCGUAGAUAUUAGGAAGAACACCAGUGGCGAAGGCGGCUUACUGGUCCGGAACUGACGCUGAGGUGCGAAAGCGU
rnacentral:rRNA from 1 species